rnacentral:rRNA from 1 species
UGGAAGCGUCUGGAAAGGCGCGCGAUACAGGGUGACAGCCCCGUACACAAAAAUGCACAUAUUGUGAGCUCGAUGAGUAGGGCGGGACACGUGGUAUCCUGUCUGAAUAUGGGGGGCCCAUCCUCCAAGGCUAAAUACUCCUGACUGACCGAUAGUGAACCAGUACCGUGAGGGAAAGGCGAAAAGAACCCCGGCGAGGGGAGUGAAAAAGAACCUGAAACCGUGUACGUACAAGCAGUGGGAGCACGCUUAGGCGUGUGACUGCGUACCUUUUGUAUAAUGGGUCAGCGACUUAUAUUCUGUAGCAAGGUUAACCGAAUAGGGGAGCCGAAGGGAAACCGAGUCUUAACUGGGCGUUAAGUUGCAGGGUAUAGACCCGAAACCCGGUGAUCUAGCCAUGGGCAGGUUGAAGGUUGGGUAACACUAACUGGAGGACCGAACCGACUAAUGUUGAAAAAUUAGCGGAUGACUUGUGGCUGGGGGUGAAAGGCCAAUCAAACCGGGAGAUAGCUGGUUCUCCCCGAAAGCUAUUUAGGUAGCGCCUCGUGAAUUCAUCUCCGGGGGUAGAGCACUGUUUCGGCA